rnacentral:tRNA from 1 species
UGGCUCAGUCGGUUAAGCAUCUGACUUUGGCUCAGGUCAUGAUCUCACAGUUUGUGGGUUCAAACCCCAC